rnacentral:rRNA from 1 species
UACAACAGUCUUACCAUGUUUUAGUCUGAUCUUGUCUGAUCUCAGAAGCUAAGCAAAACUGGGCUUGGUCAGUACUGUGAUGGAAGCCCCUUAAGAAAAAAGUUGCUCCUGUAA